UACAGAGGUCUCGAGCGUUAGGCGGAAUCACUGGGCUUAAAGCGUGUGUAGGUGGAUCGUUAAGUACCUUGUGAAAUCCCACGGCUUAACCGUGGAACUGCUUGGUAUACUGGCGGUCUUGAGCCACUUAGGGGCUACCGGAACAAAUGGUGGAGCGGUGAAAUGCGUAGAUAUCAUUUGGAACGCCAAUGGUGAAAACAGGUAGCUGGGGGUGUGCUGACGCUGAGACACGAAAGCCAGGGGAGCAAACGGG
rnacentral:rRNA from 1 species